CGGUGAGUAAGGGAAUCAUCAAGCAAGAAAAAGAGACAUUUGAAAUUGACAAGUAUCAGACAACAAUGAUCAAGCUUCUUUUCAGCAUCGCAGUCGUGACCGGAAUUGUCAUCCAAAACGUGGAAGGGCGUUGGUACACAUGCAGUGCCACUGGUGACCCACAUUACGUGACAUUUAAUAAGAAGUGUUACGACUUUCAAGGAAAAUGCCAUUACAUUUUGGCAAGAGAUACUCAAAGGCGAUUUACGGUAAUUGCCAAAAAUGAAAUAUGUGGACGCGGGUCAAAAGGUCCUUCAUGCACAAGAAAGGCCAUAGUGAGACUUAAUCAUUUCCAGAUCGUGAUCAACCG